rnacentral:rRNA from 1 species
GGUUAAGCGACUAAGCGUACACGGUGGAUGCCCUGGCAGUCAGAGGCGAUGAAGGGCGUGCUAAUCUGCGAUAAGCGCCGGUAAGGUGAUAUGAACCGUUAUAACCGGCGAUACCCGAAUGGGGAAACCCAGUGUGAUUCGUCACACUAUCAUUAACUGAAUCCAUAGGUUAAUGAGGCGAACCGGGGGAACUGAAACAUCUAAGUACCCCGAGGAAAAGAAAUCAACCGAGAUUCCCCCAGUAGCGGCGAGCGAACGGGGAGGAGCCCAGAGCCUGAAUCAGCAUGUGUGUUAGUGGAAGCGUCUGGAAAGGCGCGCGAUACAGGGUGACAGCCCCGUACACAAAAGCGCAUGUGCUGUGAGCUCGAUGAGUAGGGCGGGACACGUGGUAUCCUGUCUGAAUAUGGGGGGACCAUCCUCCAAGGCUAAAUACUCCUGACUGACCGAUAGUGAACCAGUACCGUGAGGGAAAGGCGAAAAGAACCCCGGCGAGGGGAGUGAAAAAGAACCUGAAACCGUGUACGUACAAGCAGUGGGAGCCCCACCACCAAAGCAUUCUCUGGUGUUGAAGGCCCUGCAAAGCAGCAUCGCGGUGGCGGAGCGUCGUUUGCGACGCCCAACACACAAAACAAGCGGUGAAUGCUUUGGGGUGGGGUGACUGCGUACCUUUUGUAUAAUGGGUCAGCGACUUAUAUUCUGUAGCAAGGUUAACCGAAUAGGGGAGCCGGAGGGAAACCGAGUCUUAAUUGGGCGUUAAGUUGCAGGGUAUAGACCCGAAACCCGGUGAUCUAGCCAUGGGCAGGUUGAAGGUUGGGUAACACUAACUGGAGGACCGAACCGACUAAUGUUGAAAAAUUAGCGGAUGACCUGUGGCUGGGGGUGAAAGGCCAAUCAAACCGGGAGAUAGCUGGUUCUCCCCGAAAGCUAUUUAGGUAGCGCCUCGUGAAUUCAUCUCCGGGGGUAGAGCACUGUUUCGGCUAGGGGGCCAUCCCGGCUUACCAACCCGAUGCAAACUGCGAAUACCGGAGAAUGUUAUCACGGGAGACACACGGCGGGUGCUAACGUCCGUCGUGAAGAGGGAAACAACCCAGACCGCCAGCUAAGGUCCCAAAGUCAUGGUUAAGUGGGAAACGAUGUGGGAAGGCCCAGACAGCCAGGAUGUUGGCUUAGAAGCAGCCAUCAUUUAAAGAAAGCGUAAUAGCUCACUGGUCGAGUCGGCCUGCGCGGAAGAUGUAACGGGGCUAAACCAUGCACCGAAGCUGCGGCAGCGACGCUGAUGCGUUGUUGGGUAGGGGAGCGUUCUGUAAGCCUGCGAAGGUGACCUGUGAGGGUUGCUGGAGGUAUCAGAAGUGCGAAUGCUGACAUAAGUAACGAUAAAGCGGGUGAAAAGCCCGCUCGCCGGAAGACCAAGGGUUCCUGUCCAACGUUAAUCGGGGCAGGGUGAGUCGACCCCUAAGGCGAGGCCGAAAGGCGUAGUCGAUGGGAAACGGGUUAAUAUUCCCGUACUUGGUGUUACUGCGAAGGGGGGACGGAGAAGGCUAUGUUGGCCGGGCGACGGUUGUCCCGGUUUAAGCGUGUAGGUGUGUGUUCCAGGUAAAUCCGGUUCACUUUAACACUGAGGCGUGACGACGAGGCACUACGGUGCUGAAGCAACAAAUGCCCUGCUUCCAGGAAAAGCCUCUAAGCAUCAGGUAACACGAAAUCGUACCCCAAACCGACACAGGUGGUCAGGUAGAGAAUACCAAGGCGCUUGAGAGAACUCGGGUGAAGGAACUAGGCAAAAUGGUGCCGUAACUUCGGGAGAAGGCACGCUGACACGUAGGUGAAGUGAUUUACUCAUGGAGCUGAAGUCAGUCGAAGAUACCAGCUGGCUGCAACUGUUUAUUAAAAACACAGCACUGUGCAAACACGAAAGUGGACGUAUACGGUGUGACGCCUGCCCGGUGCCGGAAGGUUAAUUGAUGGGGUCAGCGCAAGCGAAGCUCCUGAUCGAAGCCCCGGUAAACGGCGGCCGUAACUAUAACGGUCCUAAGGUAGCGAAAUUCCUUGUCGGGUAAGUUCCGACCUGCACGAAUGGCGUAAUGAUGGCCAGGCUGUCUCCACCCGAGACUCAGUGAAAUUGAACUCGCUGUGAAGAUGCAGUGUACCCGCGGCAAGACGGAAAGACCCCGUGAACCUUUACUAUAGCUUGACACUGAACAUUGAGCCUUGAUGUGUAGGAUAGGUGGGAGGCUUUGAAGUGUGGACGCCAGUCUGCAUGGAGCCGACCUUGAAAUACCACCCUUUAAUGUUUGAUGUUCUAACGUGGACCCGUAAUCCGGGUUGCGGACAGUGUCUGGUGGGUAGUUUGACUGGGGCGGUCUCCUCCUAAAGAGUAACGGAGGAGCACGAAGGUUGGCUAAUCCUGGUCGGACAUCAGGAGGUUAGUGCAAUGGCAUAAGCCAGCUUGACUGCGAGCGUGACGGCGCGAGCAGGUGCGAAAGCAGGUCAUAGUGAUCCGGUGGUUCUGAAUGGAAGGGCCAUCGCUCAACGGAUAAAAGGUACUCCGGGGAUAACAGGCUGAUACCGCCCAAGAGUUCAUAUCGACGGCGGUGUUUGGCACCUCGAUGUCGGCUCAUCACAUCCUGGGGCUGAAGUAGGUCCCAAGGGUAUGGCUGUUCGCCAUUUAAAGUGGUACGCGAGCUGGGUUUAGAACGUCGUGAGACAGUUCGGUCCCUAUCUGCCGUGGGCGCUGGAGAACUGAGGGGGGCUGCUCCUAGUACGAGAGGACCGGAGUGGACGCAUCACUGGUGUUCGGGUUGUCAUGCCAAUGGCACUGCCCGGUAGCUAAAUGCGGAAGAGAUAAGUGCUGAAAGCAUCUAAGCACGAAACUUGCCCCGAGAUGAGUUCUCCCUGAGACUUUAGGUCUCCUGAAGGAACGUUGAAGACGACGACGUUGAUAGGCCGGGUGUGUAAGCGCAGCGAUGCGUUGAGCUAACCGGUACUAAUGAACCGUGAGGCUUAACCUU